UACGAAGGGGGCUAGCGUUGUUCGGAAUUACUGGGCGUAAAGCGCGCGCAGGCGGUUUCUCAAGUCAGUGGUGAAAGCCCGGAGCUCAACUCCGGAACUGCCAUUGAAACUGUGAGACUUGAGGACGAGAGAGGUGAGUGGAAUUCCCAGUGUAGAGGUGAAAUUCGUAGAUAUUGGGAAGAACACCGGUGGCGAAGGCGGCUCACUGGCUCGUUUCUGACGCUCAGGCGCGACAGCGUGGGGAGCAAACAGG
rnacentral:rRNA from 1 species